GUGUCAGCAGCCGCGGUAAUACGUAGGGUGCAAGCGUUGUUCGGAAUCAUUGGGCGUAAAGCGCGUGUAGGCGGUUAGGUAAGUCUGUUGUGAAAUCCCUGGGCUCAACCGAGGAAGUGCAGCAGAAACUACCUGGCUAGAAGACGGUAGAGGGAGGUGGAAUUCCAAGUGUAGAGGUGAAAUUCGUAGAUAUUUGGAGGAAUACCGGCGGCGAAGGCGGCCUCCUGGACCGAUUUUGACGCUGAGACGCGAAAGCGUGGGUAGCAAACAGGAUUAGAUACCCUGGUAGUCCACGCCGUAAACGAUGGGUACUAGAUGUUGCGGGAAUUGACCCCUGCAGUGUCGACGCUAACGCAUUAAGUACCCCGCCUGGGAAGUACGGCCGCAAGGUUAAA
rnacentral:rRNA from 1 species